rnacentral:tRNA from 1 species
UUCUUACAUUUCAUUCAACCCUUUUUUUCUAUUUGUUAUAUUUGAUUUGAGAUUCAACAGUUGUACUGUAACUGAAAGAGGCGGGCUUUUUUUAUAUAUUGAUAUCUAUAUGAGUCUGCACUUUAGCGAGAUCGGCACGGAUUACGAGUAAUCCGUUCGUUAUUGCCAAAUCGAUUG